UCCCUGGAGGACUAGUGGUUAGGCCACAGCGCUCUCACGGCUGUGGCCCGGGUUCGAGUCCGGGUCAGGGAA
rnacentral:tRNA from 1 species